CUCGCCGUGGACUCCGUGCCGUCCAGACCCCUCCUCACUCGGGAAGAAAGCGAACGCAAAAGCAGGUCGGCUAUUCUAAAGGAGACGGGGCUAACCUGACUACCUGGGGAGUCAGGACAAAGGAUUUCUUCCUUUUCUGAGCUCUACCACAAGCUCUGGACACAAGAUGAAGUGGGGGCUCUUUUGAAAGCUGUCAUCAAACAAAGGUCAUCUUCCAGUUGUCUGCAAGCUCAGACUCUGCUGAUCAGGAGGAAUCCCUUCAUCGUCCUGGAUCUUGGGAUCUGCUCUUUCUCUUGGAUGGAGAAUUCAGCCUCCAGAGUCAUGGUAUUCCCCGUAAGGGUUUAUAUGAAAAUCCGUCCCUUGGCAGUGCCUCCAUCUGACGUUGAGUGAAAGGAAGAGACGGUUCAGUCCUGGGGAUGCAGCACAAAGCGGGACAUGGAGCUUGCUGGCCAAAAUGCGGGACAGAAUUGUUACGAAGGUCUUCUUACAGACGACUCGACAUUUACAUCUGGAAGAACAAUAGCAUUAUCUCACUGUUCCGGAAGAACUAAUGAACGAAGAUCGGGUACAGAUACAUGCUCAUGGCACUCUGGGAGGCCACGCUUUCUUAACAAACAGGAAGUGCAGGAAGCCAGUGUGGCUCCCUCUCAGGGAGGGGGAGAAACCCAGCUCUCUUCAGCCUCAUCUAGGCUUUCAGACCACAGCAGACUGUACCCCACAGAGGGGACAGGGCACCCAACCCCAGUACUGAGCUCUGGGCUUCGAGUCUACCGUUGUGGAUGUUGACAGGGCUGUGCAUGUGUGGACUUACCCAAACCUCACUGCAAGCCUUGGAGGGACAACUGCACAGAAGCCAUCACAUGCCCUUGGGCCUGAAGUCCUGAUUUCCACACCUGGAACCUAUUGGUCACAUGUCCAGCAGCUCAGAUUGCCCUCCCUGGGAUGACUCAGGCUGGUCUCCUACUCCCCAGGGUUAGAGCUGGCUUUUCUCAUCCUCACUCCUGCUACAGACCUCUUAUACUAGUUUCCCUGCACCUCUUUUGCCUGGAUUAUAUAAAAUUAGCUCGCAUACUACAA